UACUGCUCAGUAACACGUAGCUAACCUUACUUAAGAUUGAGGAUACCCUCGGGAAACUGAGGAUAAAACUCAAUAAAAGAUGAUUUCUGGAAUGAGUUAUCUUUGAAACGCAAGGUCUUAAGGUGGGGCUGCGGCUGAUUAGGUAGUUGGCGGGGUAAUAGCCCACCAAGCCGAUGAUCAGUAAGGGCUUUUAGCGAAGGGGCCCUGAGAAGGAAUCUGAGACACUAUUCCUAGCCCUACGGGGUGCAGCAGUUAAGAAUUUUUUGCAAUGCGCGCAAGCGUGACAGAGCGAGCCAGAGUGUUUCUCAAUAUGAGAAACUUUUGUUUACUGUAAAAAGGUAGACGAAUAAGGACCGGGCAAGACUGGUGCCAGCCGCCGCGGUAAUACCAGCGGUCCAAGUCGCAACCACAAUUAUUGGGCCUAAAACAUCUGUAGCUUGCUUUACAAGUCUCUUGUGAAAUCUUAUAUCUCAAGUAUAAGGCGUGCAGGAGAUACUGCAGAGCUAGAGACCGGGAGACGUAAGAAGUAUGGUUAAGGUAGUAGUAAAAUACGUUGAUCUUAAUCAGACUAACAACAGCGAAGGCAUCUUACGAGCACGGAUCUGACAGUGAGAGAUGAAGGCUAGGGGCGCGAAAAGGAUNAGAUACCCUUGUAGUCCUAGCAGUAAACACUGCACACUAAACAUUAGUAUCUCCUC
rnacentral:rRNA from 1 species